GAUGAACGCUGGCGGCGUGCCUAAUACAUGCAAGUCGAGCGAACGGACGAGAAGCUUGCUUCUCUGAUGUUAGCGGCGGACGGGUGAGUAACACGUGGAUAACCUACCUAUAAGACUGGGAUAACUUCGGGAAACCGGAGCUAAUACCGGAUAAUAUUUUGAACCGCAUGGUUCAAAAGUGAAAGACGGUCUUGCUGUCACUUAUAGAUGGAUCCGCGCUGCAUUAGCUAGUUGGUAAGGUAGCGGCUUACCAAGGCAACGAUGCAUAGCCGACCUGAGAGGGUGAUCGGCCACACGGGAACUGAGACACGAUCCAGACUCCUACGGGAGGCAGCAGUGGGGAAUCUUCCGCAAUGGGCGAAAGCCUGACGGAGCAACGCCGCGUGAGUGAUGAAGGUCUUCGGAUCGUAAAACUCUGUUAUUAGGGAAGAACAUAUGUGUAAGUAACUGUGCACAUCUUGACGGUACCUAAUCAGAAAGCCACGGCUAACUACGUG
rnacentral:rRNA from 1 species